CCGGCGCACGGGUGAGUGACACGUAUCCAACCUGCCGUCUACUCUUGGACAGCCUUCUGAAAGGAAGAUUAAUACAAGAUGGCAUCAUGAGUCCGCAUGUUCACAUGAUUAAAGGUAUUCCGGUAGACGAUGGGGAUGCGUUCCAUUAGAUAGUAGGCGGGGUAACGGCCCACCUAGUCUUCGAUGGAUAGGGGUUCUGAGAGGAAGGUCCCCCACAUUGGAACUGAGACACGGUCCAAACUCCUACGGGAGGCAGCAUG
rnacentral:rRNA from 1 species